UUCUGCAGGCAUGGGACAUGUAUGAGUAGAAACUGUUCAUGUAUUAGGAACUCACCAGGGGCAGCUGUGAGUUGUUCGCUUGCCCAUACACUUUUGUGAUUGCAACAGUGUCUAUAGUAAUUGCAAGAGGAUUACCGGUUUCUUCCUCUAGCAGAACAAGUUGGUUUUUGGUGCGUUCAAGAAAAGAUCUGGGUACAUGGUACCUGAAAAUAGUGUCAUCGAUAGCAUAAAUUUCAUAUUAUUGGGAAAUUAACUGUGCAGGACAAGGUACUAGCUAUCUUAAUGGACUUCUGUAAAUGGAAACUUGUUUUGUAUUUAUUCAUGAAGUGUUCAGAUUUCACAAGUUAUAGCA